rnacentral:rRNA from 1 species
UCCAGACUCCUACGGGAGGCAGCAGUAGGGAAUAUUGCUCAAUGGGGGAAACCCUGAAGCAGCAACGCCGCGUGGAGGAAGAAGGCUUUCGGGUUGUAAACUUCUUUUCUGGGGGACGAAGAAAGUGACGGUACCCCAGGAAUAAGCCACGGCUAACUACGUGCCAGCAGCCGCGGUAAUACGUAGGUGGCAAGCGUUAUCCGGAUUUAUUGGGUGUAAAGGGCGUGUAGGCGGGAAUGCAAGUCAGAUGUGAAAACUAUGGGCUCAACCCAUAGCCUGCAUUUGAAACUGUAUUUCUUGAGUGCUGGAGAGGCAAUCGGAAUUCCGUGUGUAGCGGUGAAAUGCGUAGAUAUACGGAGGAACACCAGUGGCGAAGGCGGAUUGCUGGACAGUAACUGACGCUGAGGCGCGAAAGCGUGGGGAGCAAACAGGAUUAGAUACCCCUGUAC